rnacentral:lncRNA from 1 species
UAAAAUAGUUUUUUUUGAAAUUUUUAUUAGUUAUAACUUGUGUCACAUGUGAUAAUUAUUUUGAUUUUUUUUAUCAGUAAUAAUUUAUCCCGUACACGAUAGUUUUUUUUUUGGACCGGAUCCGUAUACGAUAUUUAAAAUUUAUAUAUAAGUUAAAAUUGAUCCAGUGUAUAUAGAAUUUUGAAUAAGUGAUGAGGGGGAAAAAUUUGAAUUUGAAAUUUGGUGAGACAUUGGGAGAAGCAAAAAGAUGUCACAUGUGUUUGUGACUUAGAUGGCUUAGUUUCAUCAAAUUGAAAAAACAUAAAUGGCUCAGUGACAUGGUUACAAUGUAAAAUCUAGUUUGAUAAAACACUUUUCCACUCAUAAAUGCCCCAAAUGGCUCAUGUGGCUUGGUUUCAUUUGAAAAAUAGUGUACUUUUAGUUCAAUAAUCAAAUUUUUUGGACAUCAAUUACCCUCAUUUGGGACACAUGGCAGCACCUUAAGCAAGUGUAGUUUAGACUUAUCCAAAACAAUUAACUUUCUUAUAUAGAUUAGAUGUGUUUGGUUCACAAGGGAGGAGAGAUAUUUUACAAAUAAUUUACAUUUUUAUCCUUAUAAUUGUGCAACAGUCUCAAAAAAUAUAGAAGAAAAUUGCUCACAAAUAAAUUCAUAAACAAUAAAAAAAAUACAAGAUAGUGGUAGGCUAGCAGCACAAUAAGUCAAUAACAAAGGAAUAACAUAGCCUUUAAAAUUUAAUUAAAAAGGGAUAAUUUUGAGUUUUAACAAAAAAUUGAGGGUAACUUUGUCAAUGUAAUAAUGAAAUUAAUUGCACACCUCCCCUCCCCUCCAAAUCCUCCCGAUUUGGGGGGAAGCAAAAAGUGGUCUCGGAGAGAUUUUGCUCACCUCCUCUUCGCUCCCCUCCUGAAAAUUGAACCAAACACAUUAAUUUUAAAAUAUUGCCUCCCCUUCCCUCCCCUCCAAAACCUCCCAACCAAACACACCCUAAAAUAUAUCCUUGACUUGUUGAUCUUUCUUUGUGAUCCUUUUGUUCCUAAACUAGCCGCGGCUGUAUAUAUCCCGAAUAAUGCUUGAGGUCAUCUUUAACCUUGAUAUUUUGUUUUUGAAUGGCUUUAACCUUCAUAAUUGAAACUUGUGUACUGAAGAAGUUAAUUGCUUGUAACUUGUAAGGGUUGUAUUGUUGAUUGGUUUGCAUUUGAAAAUGGAUUUUUCUUUGCAAUCAUUUGCCUCAUCUAAGUAUUGGAAAACUUUAUUAGGGAUGUUUUACCAAAUAUUGUUAGAAGUCCCACAUUGGCUAGAGAUAUGGUAAAGAUAACCUUUAUAACUGUAGUUCAAACCUCAACUCUCAAGCUAGCUUUUGUGGUUGAGUAUAGGCCUCUCAAAUUCUAAUAUGGUAUCAGAGCCUAUCCUAGACNNNNNNNNNNNNNNNNNNNNNNNNNNNNNNNNNNNNNNNNNNNNNNNNNNUUCAUUUAGAUUCAUUUGUUGUUUGUUGUGAAGACCUCCCAUAUUUGGGCCACCCGUUGUUGUUGAUUUCACGUUCCAGCUUGUUCAGUUCUGGAUGUGAGGGGGUGUGUUAGAAGUCUCACAUUGGCUAGAGAUAUGGUAAAGAUAGCCUUUAUAACUGUAGUGCAAACCUCAACUCUCAAGCUAGCUUUUGUGGUUGAGUAUAGACCUCUCAAAUUCUAAUAAAUAUACUAGAAAUGUAAGUCACUAGGUUUGAUCUAGUGGUGUGGGGUUUGGGUAAUAUACAUAAGUUCCUGAGUUCGAUCUUCCGCUCAAGGUAAACCAAAAAUAUAUACUAGAAAUGUGAACAAUAUUUGUGGUUAAACUUGUUUUUCUAAAUGCAAUAGGAAAUCUUUAGUUUGUAUACAAUUAGAUUAUUUGUAUCACUGUGUUGGUGUACUCUUGCUUGAUGUAUCCUUUAAUCUGUUUAUAGAGAAAGAAAUAUGGACAGAGAUGGGAAGACCAGUUUUAAAGAUUUUUGCAACAUUCUGGUAAGAAACUGUGAUGAAUAAAGUUACAAUAAUUUAAUCAUUCUGGUAAUUUUUUUCUUUUCCACACUUAUUAAAAAAGUUGGUAGUGUAAUGUCUAUUUUAUAUGUAAAUAUAAUUGCCAUACAAAAACAAAAAAUGUUCUUUGAAUUUGUAUAUUUUUUUAUUACAAAAAAUUGUAUACAGUUAAUAUUCAUUUUUCAUAUGUAUAAUAUUUUGACAGGCCGAGGAUAACAAAGAUUGCCUCGUUACUGAGGAGUGCAAAUAUGAUAUGUAUUCAUUAUAUUGUUCUAUUUACAAUCAUGAUGAAGAUGAAAGAGCAUGAUCUCCAUGACUGAGUUAUGUGAAAUUCAUGUUAGGUAAGGUCAGUUUUUCCAUUGUUUAUUUCAACCUACAUUUAGUGAAGAUUUUCGUUAUUAUAUUCUAUGAUCAUCGAAUGCAGGAAGCACGGAAAAUCUUGCAACAAUGCCAAUUCUAAGAGUAACGGUUAUAAGAUAUGUUUUUUAUGUUCAGUGUUGUGUGGAGAAUUUUUUUAGGCUAAGGCACAAAAAGAGAAACUCACCAAGACUCAAUUUAGUGGGUUGUCUUGGUCAAUUUCAGAUACUACCACUAAAGGGCUAAGUGAACUCUAAUUUCUAUAUUUACAAAUCAAUUGCAACUAUAUAAUUAUCUUUGUCAAUUUCAGAUGCUAACACUAAGGGCUAAGUGGAUUAUCUUGGGUAAUUACAGAUACUACCUCUAAGAGAGUAAUGCAUGUAUCAUCUACAAAACAAUUGGUUAGUUGAUAGCAAUGCCAAAGGUGUAUAUAGAAUGCUUACCUUAGAAAUAUAUUGAUUUCCAGAACUACGAUAUAAAGAUGGACAUACUGACAAAAAUUUGUUCAAUGAAGCAACACCUUGACAUGAGUUCUUCUUUCGUCCGAGUUCCUAUUGCCAAAAAAAUUCCCUUCAACAAAAACAUUGAAUCAAUAUGCAAAAUUGAAACCGUAUGAGUGAGUAAAUGAUAAACUCUGCUGACUGAAUACUUUGAAUCUCGGAUACCACCUCUAACAUUCUUGAACACCAACCUGCAAAAAAAAGUGUUCCAGCAUAGCACAAUACUCAAAAUCCUUCCUCCCACACAAAAUGACUCUGCAGCCAACUCCCUACUAUACAAAUCCGCCACCGGAUAAAUCAAACAACCUAUUAAGUCUUAUAUUAAGAGAUUCUCACCUAGCCACUUGUCUUUUCAAAAACAUGUGUGUUUCCCAUUAUCCACCUUCCUAUGAAUAUUAUUUUCCGACAAAUAAGGUAUGACUUCUUCCAAGACCAGCUACACUAAUUAAAGAGAAGACAAAGUUAUGGCUUAAUUAUCACUUUUUUAGAUGGAAUGCAUAAGA